ACCCUUUUCUUGGCACGCCGAAGCUCCUAUAUAAGCCCUGCUGUCUUCGGGCAGCUAUGGCAAUAAACGGGCGGUGUAAUAAACCCAUUGGACCCGGGGGCGGUACCCGGCGCCUCCACCAAAAACCGGUCAGUUCGGACCGGCUUUUGAUGGGGGCGAAAUAGGAUCGACAAGGGCGUAAAGAUCGACUUUUUGCUCGGCAUUGUACCACCGUUAUCGGGCUAAACUUAUAGUUGCAAACGACAACUAUGCUGAAGCACGUCUCGCUGCCUAACGGCGGUGCGACACUUCAAAUCAAGUCCUUGCGGGUAGCACUGUAAGGCGGGGUCCGGAGGCACCUGGCAACAGAAGCCUUCACC
rnacentral:tmRNA from 1 species